rnacentral:pre_miRNA from 1 species
GUACUACUCCCUUCGUCCGGAAAUACUUGUCAUCAAAAUAAAUAAAAAAGGAUGUAUCUAGAUGUAUUUUAGUUCUAGAUACAUCCUUUUUUGUCCAUUUUGAUGACAAAUAUUUUCGGACGGAGGGAGUACUUG